rnacentral:tRNA from 2 species
UGGGGUGUCGCCAAGCGGUAAGGCACCAGACUUUGACUCUGGCAUUCGUUGGUUCAAAUCCAGCCUCCCCAGCCA